CAGUGAGCGCAAAUUCCCCAGAGGCACCAAUGAUCACGAAGGAGAGGCGAAACUUCCGGUAGCAGCAAAAACAUGGAAAAACAAAGCAAACAAAGUUUGCUGAAUUUGUUCCCGAAGCAGGUAGAUUUGCAAAACGAACACUCCACCCCCCCUCCCCAGAAAAUAAUAGUGAAUAAAUGUUAGGCCGCGGGUUCGUUCGCUUGACAGCGCGACGCGGACCGACAUUUUAUGUACCGUUUGAUUUCGUGUUUAAACAUUCGCUUCAGAACUGAAUAAAAGCCAGUUUUUACCUCAAAAA